rnacentral:rRNA from 1 species
UACAGAGGUCCCAAGCGUUGUUCGGAUUCACUGGGCGUAAAGGGUGCGUAGGCGGCCGGGUAAGUCUGAUGUGAAAUCCCGCAGCUCAACUGCGGAACUGCAUCGGAUACUCUCCGGCUAGAGGAAUGGAGGGGAGACUGGAAUUCCUGGUGUAGCGGUGGAAUGCGCAGAUAUCAGGAGGAACACCGGUGGCGAAGGCGGGUCUCUGGGCAGUAACUGACGCUGAGGAGCGAAAGCUAGGGGAGCAAACGGG